rnacentral:rRNA from 1 species
AGGAUUAACGCUGGCGGCGUGCAUGAAACAUGCAAGUCGAGCGCGGUGUGAUGCGGGGUAACCCAAUUCACAUCUAGCGGCGAACGGGUGAGUAACACGUGAGCAACCUACCUUUGAGUUGGGGAUAGCCCUGGGAAACCAGGAUUAAUACCCGAUGUGGUCACAACAGGACAUCCUGAUGUGAGUAAAGGCGCAAGCCGCUCAAUGACGGGCUCGCGGCCUAUUAGCUUGUUGGUGGGGUAACGGCCUACCAAGGCGAUGAUGGGUAGCUGGUCUGAGAGGACGAUCAGCCACACUGGGACUGAGACACGGCCCAGACUCCUACGGGAGGCAGCAGUUAGGAAUUUUCCGCAAUGGCGAAAGCCUGACGAGCAACGCCGCGUGAGUGAUGAAGACCUUAGGGUUGUAAAGCUCUGUCGGAGGGAAGAACACAAUGACGGUACCUCCAAGAAAGCCCGGACUAACUACGUGCCAGCAGCCGCGGUAA